GACUAUGGCCAUGCCACCCUGAACGUGCCCAAACUCAUCUGAUCUCAGAAGCUAAGCAGGUCAGGCCUGGUUAGUACUUGGAUGGGAGACCACUUAGGAAUACCAGGUGCUAUAGGCG
rnacentral:rRNA from 1 species